rnacentral:rRNA from 1 species
UACAGAGGUCCCAAGCGUUGUUCGGAUUCACUGGGCGUAAAGGGUGCGUAGGUGGUGAGGUAAGUCGGAUGUGAAAUCUCCGAGCUCAACUCGGAAAUGGCAUUGGAAACUACCUUGCUCGAGGGUUGGAGGGGGGACUGGAAUGCUUGGUGUAGCAGUGAAAUGCGUAGAUAUCAAGCGGAACACCAGUGGCGAAGGCGAGUCCCUGGACAACUCCUGACACUGAGGCACGAAAGCUAGGGGAGCAAACGGG